UAACGCGUGAGGAACCUGCCUUUCAGAGGGGGACAACAGUUGGAAACGACUGCUAAUACCGCAUAACACAUAGGUGUCGCAUGGCACUUAUGUCAAAGAUUUAUCGCUGAAAGAUGGCCUCGCGUCUGAUUAGCUAGUUGGUGAGGUAGCGGCCCACCAAGGCGACGAUCAGUAGCCGGACUGAGAGGUUGAACGGCCACAUUGGGACUGAGAUACGGCCCAGACUCCUACGGGAGGCAGCAGUGGGGAAUAUUGGGCAAUGGGCGCAAGCCCGACCCAGCAACGCCGCGUGAAGGAAGAAGGCUUUCGGGUUGUAAACUUCUUUUGUCAGGGACGAGCAGAAGACGGUACCUGACGAAUAAGCCACGGCUAACUACGUGCCAGCAGCCGCGGUAAUACGUAGGUGGCAAGCGUUGUCCGGAUUUACUGGGUGUAAAGGGCGUGUAGCCGGGAGGGCAAGUCAGAUGUGAAAUCCACGGGCUCAACUCGUGAACUGCAUUUGAAACUACUCUUCUUGAGUAUCGGAGAGGCAAUCGGAAUUCCUAGUGUAGCGGAGAAAUGCAUGAUAUUAGGAGGAGCACCAGUGGCGAAGGCGGAUUGCUGGACGACAACUGACGGUGAGGCGNNAAAGCGUGGGGAGCAAACAGGAUUAGAUACUCUGGUAGUCCACNUUGUAAACGAUGAAUACUAGGUGU
rnacentral:rRNA from 1 species